AUUUUUUUUCAUAACUUGAAAUGGGAUUGGACUUCGCAACAUACAGAAGCCCUUAACACUCUGAAAGAUAAGCUUAAGGCUUAUCAGAGACUAGGCCCGUUGC